CUACGGGCCGCUCCAGUGGGGAAUUUUGCGCAAUGGGGGCAACCCUGACGCAGCAAUACCGCGUGAGUGAAGAAGGCCUUUGGGUCGUAAAGCUCUUUUCUAAGGGAAGAUAGUGACGGUACCUUAGGAAUAAGCACCGGCUAACUCCGUGCCAGCAGCCGCGGUAAUACGGAGGGUGCGAGCGUUGUUCGGAUUUACUGGGCGUAAAGGGCACGUAGGCGGCCUAGCAAGUUAAGGGUGAAAUCCCGGGGCUCAACUCCGGAACUGCUCUUAAAACUGCUAAGCUAGAGAUAGUCAGAGGCGGGUGGAAUUCCAGGUGUAGAGGUGAAAUUCGUAGAUAUCUGGAGGAACACCGGUGGCGAAGGCGGCCCGCUGGGGCUAUUCUGACGCUGAGGUGCGAAAGCGUGGGGAGCGAACGGGAUUAGAUACCCUAGUAGUC
rnacentral:rRNA from 1 species